rnacentral:rRNA from 1 species
GGGAUGACGUCAAGUCAUCAUGGCCCUUACGACCAGGGCUACACACGUGCUACAAUGGCGCAUACAAAGAGAAGCGACCUCGCGAGAGCAAGCGGACCUCAUAAAGUGCGUCGUAGUCCGGAUUGGAGUCUGCAACUCGACUCCAUGAAGUCGGAAUCGCUAGUAAUCGUGGAUCAGAAUGCCACGGUGAAUACGUUCCCGGGCCUUGUACACACCGCCCGUCACACCAUGGGAGUGGGUUGCAAAAGAAGUAGGUAGCUUAACCUUCGGGAGGGCGCUUACCACUUUGUGAUUCAUGACUGGGGUGAAGUCGUAACAAGGUAACCGUAGGGGAACCUGCGGUUGGAUCACCUCCUUACCUUAAAGAAGC